rnacentral:lncRNA from 1 species
GUUAAUGUUCUCCUGUGUCUGCUUCUCUGCCUGGCCAAGAGGAUCUGUGCACUGGGGCCACCUUGGGGAUCAGGACCUGCUUGUGAUCAAAGCCCUUUCCCCUCAGGCCACCUAUAGGAGAGCUGCUAUGGGUCUCAGACAAACUUCUGGGAGGAAAAUGGGAGUAAAAGGAAGAAAUGGGACUCCAGAAUCAUCUAUGGACCAAGACCCAUGGGAGGAAGAGGCCCCGGAACACUGAGAGCCAAGGAUGCAGAGAACUGACUGCAGAGUCAAGAUCUGGGUUUGAAUGGCAGUUCCCUGCCCAUGGACUGUGUGACCCAAGCAAGGGGCCUCAUGUCUCCGAGUCUUGGGUUCUUCACUGUAAAACAAGAAACCUGUCGUAUGCCUGUCCCUCAGGCCAAGAGAUGAGCGGGUCCUCCUGCCCUCAACCCUUGGGACACGGUACUCAGGGGGUGAGGCCCAAGGUCCAGGACUGGAGCUUUGAGGUUCAUCUGGCUCCAGCAGGUUUCCAUAGUGAUGGAAUGGACCACUGGCUACAGGUAAGUCCUUCAGCAAAGUUCAUUGAUUCCCUCAAUGUCAUUAGAACAUGAACGUUGUUUGAUAGCCUUCAUUUUCAAAGAGGAUCAGUGAUAUGGUAGGGUGAUGUCUUGAUUUGUGAGUGAAUUGGAUUUAAGGGAGGCAGAGUUGCACCAAGUCAUCAGUCUCACUUUCUCUUCAAGAGUCAUUGACGUUCAAUGGCAAUAUAAGAGUCAGGAUGACUGGAGAUGACCCAGGAUGUAGUGAAUAACCUUAGGGCAGCGGUUCUCAACCUGUGGGUCGCGACCCUGGUGGGGGUCAAACGACCAAAACACAGGGGUCGCCUAAAGCCAUCA